rnacentral:misc_RNA from 1 species
UGUUUCAAAACCUUUUAUAUGAAUCUGGUAUGUUUUGGAUCGUCAGAAAUCCAUUUUCCUAAAGCAUUGCUCGAAGAACAAAAAAAAAAGUGAUUUUUCAGAAAACCCUAUAUGGACCUUUAUAAGGAACAUACAGAAAUAAAAACCUUUGUACGUAGUUUGUAUGGUCCUCUGUACUGCAGGAUUUCAAAAAUGAUGUUCUGGUUGUAUUUUCUAUUUUCAGGCAACCAUUUUUAAUUGCAGGUCUACUAUUUGGAGCCUCUCAAGGCUUUAUUACUAAUUCGUUUGUUUUAUUUCCAUUAUCAACAUGAUUUUUGCCUGAUGUCAUGAUCGACAUAAAUCGUG